rnacentral:misc_RNA from 1 species
GUAGGUGAACCUGCGGAAGGAUCAUUAAUGAAACUUGGAGAUUCUGAUGCUGGCGUUUAUUCGCAUGUGCUCGGUCUCCUUAAUCCAUUCAACACCUGUGCACCUUUGUGAAGGAGGACGAAAGUCCACCUUCAUUUAUAUACAAACUCUUUAUUGAAAUCUGAAUGUUCAUUGGCCGAAAGGCUCUAAAAUAAAACAACUUUUAACAACGGAUCUCUUGGCUCUC